rnacentral:lncRNA from 1 species
UGGGUUAUCUAUAAUGUCUGUUUUUUUGUUUUGCCACCAAUAUGGGGUAGAGUCAAAGGAUCAGUGAACCUCAAAUGCGGUGGCGGGUGCCAUCAAUGCAUAAGUGUUUAGAAGUCCCCCCAUCUUCUAACUCCUAAGUAAGAGGUCAAUGUAAAAGUCUCUGGUUUGUUGUUUCUUUGCUCAAAAGCAGCCCAUGAAGUUGACAAUGACUUUGUCGGUGAUGCAACAUUUAAUGCUAACAGAAUCUACACAUAUUUACUCCAAAGCCUCAUCGUGGCACAUUCUGGACCAGUGGGGGUAAAAAAGCUGGAGAAUAAAAUCAAAGUAGCCAAAGGGAAAAGAUGAUGGGAUUUAGAGCCAAAGCACAUCUGGAGGUCCAUGAUUGCCAGCUCCUGCUAUAUCUGGGAAAUUAUUUUAUGGAAUUCAUUGGGAUUGAAUUCUGAGUAGGCUCCAUAUGAGGGGUGGGCAAGGUGCAGUCUGACACUCAGCCCCUCAAAAAAUCUAUUUUUUGGUGCUCCAAAUACCCUUUCUUUUAAAUUUUUCUUUGAUUUUGUACUGUGCACGUUUGUAGUUUUCAUUUUAAGAAUGUUUUAAAAACCCCUUGUGAGGGUGGGCGGUCACUUGAUCACGUUUUGAGGGCUGCUUCCCCUAAGUCACUAGUCCCUAGUUUUCUUGACCCCUGAGGCAGCGGGCCCCACAUAAAAGGGAGCUUGCCCCUUUAAGGCAAACCCCGCCCCCUUUAGCCUCACUCCCGCCCCAAGCCAAUCAGCGCUCUCCCAGCCCCAUAUGGGGGCAAAGAGAACUCUGCCGCUCAACCGCACUAGCUUGAGCCGCCGCUCAAGUCCCACCUCCCCUUGUAGGAGAUGAAGGAAUGGCGAUUGGUGCGCGGCGGGACGGAGGCGCUGCUCUCAUUGGCCAAGCGUAGUGCCAAUCCGAAGUCUCGCCACGACGCACCGCCCCCUGGUGGCAGCCGUCGGGGUAGGCUGCGAGAGUGGGAGAGAACCGGGAAGGAGACGCUGCCCUUCCGAAGCAAUGGAGCGAGGCUGCACGAGCAGAAGAUUUUUCUGGAGGCCUGAUUGUCGGCUUGCGACACCGACGUGGAAGCCGCGCCGGAUUUCUGGGCGAACGUUCUAGAACCCAAUGAAUUCUCACCGCCCGCAACC